CGGGUGAGUAACACGUGGAUAACCUACCUAUAAGACUGGGAUAACUUCGGGAAACCGGAGCUAAUACCGGAUAAUAUAUUGAACCGCAUGGUUCAAUAGUGAAAGACGGUUUUGCUGUCACUUAUAGAUGGAUCCGCGCCGCAUUAGCUAGUUGGUAAGGUAACGGCUCACCAAGGCAACGAUGCGUAGCCGACCUGAGAGGGUGAUUGGCCACACUGGAACUGAGACACGGUCCAGACUCCUACGGGAGGCAGCAGCA
rnacentral:rRNA from 1 species